AUGAUGAUGAUGACGACGACGAUGAGGAGGAAGAGAAAAAGAAGCAUGAACAUGAGGGUGAGGAUGAUGAUGGCUACGAUGAUGAUGAUGAUGACUACGAUGACGAUGAUGAUGAAGAUGAAGGCGAGGGUGGCAAUCACUAUAGAGAGGAUGACAGAUACAGUGACGAUGAUGAUGGUGAAGAAUACGGUGGGGGUGACGGCAGUGACGACGCUUGGUGACCGAUGCUGCAGGGCCAGGAGCGCCUGUGGCGGGUGGGCACGUGGGGCAGCAGCCCCCUGCCCCCUGCCUCCGCCUCUGCCUCGCUCUGCCAGGGCUGGUCCUGGGCACCAACGUCGCCUUGGGCAGGACCUUCUCGUUCCUAAUAAACCCCCCUUGGGCCACUGGCUCAGCACCUCAAGCUGUCCCUUGUCACAGUGCCUGCAUGGCACGGCCACCUGGGGCAGCCCCAGCCCUGCUGGAGCUCCCACGCUGGGGCUCUUCACAGUGAUUCGGACACCGAGGCAGAGCCCCAGGGGCAGCGCAGCCCAGGCUCACGUCUGGGACCAGCAGAGCUUCCCUGGGCCAGCAGAGCCCCCUGUGGGAUCCCCACAGCCCCCCGGGACUUCCUGGCACCACGGCAUCUCCCAAAGCAGCCGUGCUGGCAGGGCUUGGCCAGGUCCUGGGCACGGGCUCGUGUGUCCCUUGGAGCCUCGCUGUGCCCGCAGCACCGUGACCACAACUUGCAGUGGGGUCAGGAGCUGGGGGAGCACCGCUCACGGCGCUCAGGUGUGGCUCCAACACGGCCCCUGGUGCCCGGGGUUUCUGGGGUCCUGCCUGCAGCAGCUGGAAGCCUGCUGGUGCUGCGAGAGGAGCCGUUCCCAGCUGCAGACACAGAAACACCCCGACAUUUCACAGCCCGGGCGAGCAGCAGAGCUGAACCAGGGAGAGGUUGGGGCUGGUCGUGCCCCCUGGGGCCACCCGGGGCCCUGGACAAGCUCCAGGGACAAGGCCGAGUCCUCUGUGGGGACACAGCGGGGUCCUGCCGGGCGUCUGCUCCAGGGGAGGCUCUGGGAACAGAAACGAGACUGA
rnacentral:lncRNA from 1 species